AACCAACNGGGAUUCCCUUAGUAACGGCGAGUGAAGCGGGAAAAGCUCAAAUUUGAAAGCUGGCUGUCCUUGUGGCAGUCCGCAUUGUAAUUUGAAGAUAUUGCCUUAGGAUUAUCCUCCUGUCUAAGUCCCCUGGAAAGGGGCGCCAUUGAAGGUGACAGCCCUGUAAGAUGGGAGAGAUUUUUCCAUUGUAAGGCCUUAUCGAAGAGUCGCGUAGUUUGGGAAUGCUGCGCUAAGUGGGAGGUAAAUUCCUUCUAAAGCUAAAUAUUGGACAGAGACCGAUAGCAAACAAGUACAGUGAUGGAAAGAUGAAAAGCACUUUGAAAAGAGAGUGAAAUAGUACGUGAAAUUGCUGAAAGGGAAGGGUAUAUCGUGAGUUAUGGUGUGUGACUGUUUAUGGUUUCCCUUGUGGAUCCUGGACUCAGUCUUCGCCGUGCCAGGGAGAAUUUUGGCGGUGGGAUAAUUGCCUGGGAAUGUGGCUUUCACCUUAUGGUGAGAGUGUUAUAGCCUUGUGUGGAUACCACCUGCUGGGAUUGAGGACUGCGACUUUAUUGUCAAGGACUCUGGCUUAAUUGCGACAUACCGC
rnacentral:rRNA from 1 species